CUCCCUCGUUGCUGACCCCAGGUUCGAUAAUACCGAGAUGGCAUCACCUCGCCAAGAACCAACUUCGAUGAAGCGACGGGCGGUGUGUGCAAGGG
rnacentral:rRNA from 1 species